rnacentral:ncRNA from 1 species
AAAAAAGCAAUGAGAGGAACUAGUAACAAGUAACUCAUUCCUAAAGAGAGCCGGUGGCUGGUGUGAACCGGUGGAUGGUCUUGUGAAUCCCUCCUCGAGCAAGGUGCGGAACACCUCAAGUGAGGUCAGUAAGUACUUUCGGUGAAAAACCGUUAACGUUUUUUCGAGGUGGACUGAUUUUUAGUCAACCAGGGUGGUAUCGCGAGCAACUCUCGUCCCUGUA